rnacentral:rRNA from 1 species
UACAUAGGGUGCAAACGUUGCUCGGAAUUAUUGGGCGUAAAGCGCGCGUAGGCGGUUACUUAAGUCGGAUGUGAAAGCCCUCGGCUUAACUGAGGAAGUGCACCCGAAACUGAGUAGCUAGAGUACGAAAGAGGGUCGCGGAAUUCCCGGUGGAGUGGUGAAAUGCGUAGAUAUCGGGAGGAACACCAGAGGCGAAGGCGGCCGGCUGGGCUGUACCUGACGCUGAGGCGCGAAAGCGUGGGGAGCGAACAGG